rnacentral:rRNA from 1 species
CCUACGGGAGGCAGCAGUGAGGAAUAUUGGACAAUGGGCGCAAGCCUGAUCCAGCCAUGCCGCGUGCAGGAUGACGGUCCUAUGGAUUGUAAACUGCUUUUAUACGGGAAGAAACACUACUUCGUGAAGUAGCUUGACGGUACUGUAAGAAUAAGGAUCGGCUAACUCCGUGCCAGCAGCCGCGGUAA